rnacentral:rRNA from 1 species
GACGAACGCUGGCGGUGUGCUUAACACAUGCAAGUCGAACGGUAAGGCCCUUUCGGGGGUACACGAGUGGCGAACGGGUGAGUAACACGUGAGUAACCUGCCCUCAUCGCUGGGAUAACAGUCGACAACGGUUGCUAAUACGGGAUAUGAGCUUGCAAGGCAUCUUGUGGGUUGGAAAGAUUUUUUUUGGUGGGGGAUGGACUCGCGGCCUAUCAGCUUGUUCGUGAGGUAGUGGCUCACCAAGGCUUCGACGGGUAGCCGGCCUGGGAGGGCGACCGGCCACAUUGGGACUGAGAUACGGCCCCAACUCCUACGGGAGGCAGCAGUGGGGAAUAUUGCACAAUGGACGGAAGUCUGAAGCAGCAACGCCGCGUGCGGGAUGACGGCAGUCGGGUUGUAAGCCGCUAUCAAUUGUGACGAAGCUUUUUUGUGACGGUAGCAGUAGAAGAAGCACCGGCUAACUACGUG